rnacentral:rRNA from 1 species
UACGGGGGGGGCAAGCGUUGUUCGGAAUUACUGGGCGUAAAGGGCGCGUAGGCGGGCGGACAAGUCUCUCGUGAAAGCCCACGGCUCAACCGUGGAAUUGCGGGAGAUACUGUCUGUCUUGAGUCCGGGAGAGGAGGGUGGAAUUCCCAGUGUAGCGGUGAAAUGCGUAGAUAUUGGGAGGAACACCGGUGGCGAAGGCGGCCCUCUGGACCGGUACUGACGCUGAGGCGCGAAAGCUAGGGGAGGAAACGGG